GUGUUAAUAUGAGUCGAGAGAAAGUUAGCAAUCCCCUCGAUAAGGACGGAAUUAAUGGUUAAUUACCAUUUCAAUAGUCACCUAGUUGUGGCUGCAUAUUAAGACAACACCCAAUUUUUU
rnacentral:ncRNA from 1 species